rnacentral:rRNA from 1 species
GACGAACGCUGGCGGCGUGCUUAACACAUGCAAGUCGAACGGAAAGGCCCUGCUUUUGUGGGGUGCUCGAGUGGCGAACGGGUGAGUAACACGUGAGUAACCUGCCCUUGACUUUGGGAUAACUUCAGGAAACUGGGGCUAAUACCGGAUAGGAGCUCCUGCUGCAUGGUGGGGGUUGGAAAGUUUCGGCGGUUGGGGAUGGACUCGCGGCUUAUCAGCUUGUUGGUGGGGUAGUGGCUUACCAAGGCUUUGACGGGUAGCCGGCCUGAGAGGGUGACCGGCCACAUUGGGACUGAGAUGCGGCCCAGACUCCUACGGGAGGCAGCAGUGGGGAAUAUUGCACAAUGGGCGGAAGCCUGAUGCAGCAACGCCGCGUGCGGGAUGACGGCCUUCGGGUUGUAAACCGCUUUCGCCUGUGACGAAGCGUGAGUGACGGUAAUGGGAAAAGAAGCACCGGCUAACUACGUG